GCGGUGAUCGCACACACUCAAAAAGUAUGUUAAAUGACAUAACCGAUCCAGUCUUUAUAUUCAGAAUUAUUCAGGCUACUAAAGAUUUCUGGACAUGCCUACAGCGAAAACAUAUGGUGACCUGACCCUGAACCGCUGAGAAAGAGGACCUUUCCAGUUAACACUGUCUUUGAGAGAUUCCUGGAGCUCCAGUCCUACUCGGAGGGUCUGCAGGUGAUGAUGCUGUUCCUGCGCGCUGCACGGCGGAAGAGGCGCGGGAUACGUGCUGUGGAAGCGUCUCAGGUCCACUCGAAACGCCCCUUUCUCCAGUGUCAUGCACGGCUCAAAACGGGCUCCCCACUCGAUCUCCGUCUCGAUGUAGGAAGUCUUCGCUUGGCACAUCAUUCCUGUCAAAAUAAAGUUGCCAAACUAUCUCAGAAGGAAACACUACAUCCACUAGAUGGCGCCAUGCUGUAACAAAUUGCAUGGUUUUAAUCUGGCGCGGUUUUUCCAUUUAAUUUAAUAAAAUUUAAUUUAAUUAAA